rnacentral:rRNA from 1 species
AUUUGGUCGUAGACCCGAAACCAGGUGAUCUACCCUUGGUCAGGUUGAAGUUCAGGUAACACUGAAUGGAGGACCGAACCGACUUACGUUGAAAAGUGAGCGGAUGAACUGAGGGUAGCGGAGAAAUUCCAAUCGAACCUGGAGAUAGCUGGUUCUCUCCGAAAUAGCUUUAGGGCUAGCCUCAAGUGAUGAUUAUUGGAGGUAGAGCACUGUUUGGACGAGGGGCCCCUCUCGGGUUACCGAAUUCAGACAAACUCCGAAUGCCAAUUAAUUUAACUUGGGAGUCAGAACAUGGGUGAUAAGGUCCGUGUUCGAAAGGGAAACAGCCCAGACCACCAGCUAAGGUCCCAAAAUAUAUGUUAAGUGGAAAAGGAUGUGGCGUUGCCCAGACAACUAGGAUGUUGGCUUAGAAGCAGCCAUCAUUUAAAGAGUGCGUAAUAGCUCACUAGUCGAGUGACACUGCGCCGAAAAUGUACCGGGGCUAAACAUAUUACCGAAGCUGUGGAUUGUCCUUUGGACAAUGGUAGGAGAGCGUUCUAAGGGCGUUGAAGCAUGAUCGUAAGGACAUGUGGAGCGCUUAGAAGUGAGAAUGCCGGUGUGAGUAGCGAAAGACGGGUGAGAAUCCCGUCCACCGAUUGACUAAG